CUGGGGACGCUUGAUCUGCCUGUGUUUGAAAAUUUACUCCAUUGGGUCUGCACAGAAUUCCAACACGUCCAAGUCCUAGCUUAUUCAAAGGACCAAGCCUCUUCUGUGCCAGCCCAGUGGUUUCUCUGUAGGAGAUGGUAACACAGCCCCCAUUGGCUUCAGUAGAGCAGGAUCCGGGCUGCGCUCAGCAGCUGCACACAGAACCACUUCUCCUUGCCAGCUACUGCGCAGCAUGAUGCCGCCUUGGCAUGAUCGCUCUGACCUAGAAGCAACCUUCAGCCCAGGUGCAUCCUCCACGAUGCAGCUGCACAAAAGCCUGCCUGUGAUGGAAGGCGCUGGAUCAGUCACUGCAGAGCGGAGCCUUGGCAGAACCCGGGCAAAGGGGAGAGACCAAGAAGAGGGGCUGGGGCCCAUUUCCAGUGCAGCUGCGGAGGACAGUGCUUUCUAUCCCUGCUUAUGGGGAAUGGCUGUUGGCCCCCCGGCAAGAACUGUCCCUAGGAAUCCUUCCCAGCCAGCCUUGUUCUCUCCCUGCUCUUCUGGAUCUGCGAUCUGGCAAGCCGAGAGCCUGCAUGUGGAUGCGUCCCCUCUGUCCUGCCAUCCCCUUGACAAGCCCUGCUGGGUGUUAACACGCAUUUGAUGGUCACCCUC